rnacentral:rRNA from 1 species
AUUGAACGCUGGCGGCAUGCUUUACACAUGCAAGUCGAACGGCAGCGCGGGCUUCGGCCUGGCGGCGCGUGGCGAACGGGUGAGUAAUACAUCGGAACGUGCCCAGUAGUGGGGGAUAGCUCGGCGAAAGCCGGAUUAAUACCGCAUACGACCUGAGGGUGAAAGCCGUGGAUCUUCGGACCUCGCGCUUUUUGAGCGGCCGAUGGCAGAUUAGCUAGUUGGUGGGGUAAAGGCCUACCAAGGCGACGAUCUGUAGCUGGUCUGAGAGGACGACCAGCCACACUGGGACUGAGACACGGCCCAGACUCCUACGGGAGGCAGCAGUGGGGAAUUUUGGACAAUGGGCGAAAGCCUGAUCCAGCAAUGCCGCGUGUGUGAUGAAGGCCUUCGGGUUGUAAAGCACUUUUGGCGGGAACGAAAAGGACUGUGCCAAUACCACGGUUCGAUGACGGUACCCGCAGAAUAAGCACCGGCUAACUACGUG